rnacentral:lncRNA from 1 species
GUCAAGUGGGUUGGGUCGGACCAAUCCAAAACCGGCCCAUGUUAUUUAAUCGGGUUGAGGGUCGGACCAGGUACGGGUUGGGGUCUAAGUGGGCUGGGCCGGGCCGAGCCCAACAGUAAAAAAAUCAAAAAUCACCUUAAUCCGGCCCACUUAACCCAACCCGGUCAAACUCACCUAAACCCGGUCAAACCCAAUUAGAAAACCGGUCAAACCCGGUCAAAAAUAUAAAAAA